rnacentral:rRNA from 1 species
ACGCUCGACACCUACGGGGGCAGCAGUCGGGAAUAUUGCGCAAUGGAGGAAACUCUGACGCAGUGACGCCGCGUGCAGGAAGAAGGUUUUCGGAUUGUAAACUGCUUUAGACAGGGAAGAAAAAGACAGUACCUGUAGAAUAAGCUCCGGCUAACUACGUGCCAGUAGCCGCGGUAAUCUGAGCGGGCUGGCAAGGC